rnacentral:rRNA from 1 species
UACAGAGGUCUCAAGCGUUGUUCGGAUUCAUUGGGCGUAAAGGGUGUGUAGGUGGCGCGCUAAGUCGGGGGUGAAAUUUCGGAGCUUAACUCCGAAACUGCAUUCGAUACUGGCGUGCUUGAGGACUGGAGAGGAGACUGGAAUUUACGGUGUAGCAGUGAAAUGCGUAGAUAUCAGGAGGAAUACCGAUGGCGAAGGCAGGUCUCUGGGCUGACACUGACGCUCAUGCACGAAAGCGUGGGGAGCAAACAGG